GGAUGUGAGGGCAAUCUGUCACCCUAUUGAUCGCCAGGGUUGAUUCAGCUGAUUUUGCUGGCUAGGCGGGUGUCCCCUUCCUCCCUCACCGCUCCAUGUGCAUCCCUCCUGAAGCUGUGGGCUUGGUCAUAGAGGAUAGCCUUCCCCAAUAGAGAAGGACGGGUCUUCCGUCGAGGGUAUAGGAGUAGCUGCGCUCCCAGGCUAGAACCUCCAACAAGCUCUCAAGGUCCAGAAGUAGUAGGGUUAUGAACUCAAAUUCCAUCAGACCCAG
ensembl:misc_RNA 7SK 7SK RNA